GUUUGAACCAACGACGGCUACGGUCAGAGGAAUACAUUCAUCUCCGCGAUGCUAUAAAUGCUGAUGGCAAUGUGAAUAAUGUAGGAAGAAUGACAAUUUUGCCAGCUACUUAUAUAGGAAGCCCACGCCACAUGCAUGAAUAUGCUCAGGAUGCUAUGUCAUAUGUUAGGCAUUAUGGCCGCCCAGACUUAUUUGUUACAUUCACAUGUAACCCAAAAUGGUCCGAAAUCAAGAAGGAAUUACUACAUAGCCAAACACCAGUUGAUAGACAUGACAUAACCGCCAGAGUUUUUAAACAAAAAUUAAAAUCUCUCAUGAAUUUUUUAAUAAAGCAUUGUGUGUAUGGCCGAGUCCGUUGUUGGAUGUACUCUGUAGAAUGGCAAAAGCGUGGAUUGCCACAUGCGCACAUUUUAGUCUGAUGAAAUAGUUGACCCAAAAUUGCAUGCAGUAGUUA